UUGGACUAGAAGUACAGACACUCUUAACAAUGCAAUAAAUAAUUGGGAUUGUUAAGUACAAUGAAAAAAGGCACUACAACAAACAGCGAUGUUUAUAAAGAAACCAUUUCAAAGGUUUUUGUGGGAAAACCAUAUACUGCUACCGGUGCCUGCAAGUUCAAACAGUUGAAAAUCACUUAGGAGACCUAAGAUUUGCUUUUGAUGAUGACCUGAAAGUUGUUGUAUUUAACCAAGUUAAUUGGAGAUUCCUAUUCCCUGUACUGAGCAGGUUGUCAGAUCAGGAAGAAAUCAAGCUUUAAUUGCUAUUAUAUUUACAUAUUCGCACCUUAAAGUAAUUUUGAGACAAUUAUUAAAAAUGUAUCACUCAAAGAUCUACAAUCGGUUCCAAGAUCAUUCUACCAAUUAUAUACAAGGGACAACAUUUAUGUUUGUGCGACAUCUAACGUUGAAAAUGUAAUAUAGUACUGGCAUUUAUCCUUCUGGAUCUGUGGUAUCAAUAUGCCUCUAUCACAACCACUAAACUCAAUAGUGUUUUGGAGGUUAUGCUCAUAAUGUUUAUUAAAUAACUUAUUUUUGCUCGGUAAACAUUUACUUAGAUUGUGGAAUGGCUUGAAAAGGGGUGCCAAUGAAAGUACAUCAUAAUGUUUCAACCCUUUUUAUUGUUUACCCACCCUUUGAACAUCUGCUAAAAAAAGGGGUGAAAACGCUUUAAAAGCAUUACAACAAAAACAACAUAAGCUGCGAGGAGAGAAGCACUGUGUUAGGUGUACAUGCAAAUUAGUGCGAGUAUAUAAGCGGAAUGGUGAAACGAAACAUCGACGCACUCCCUGCCACGACCAUCCUCCUCCAAUCUGAAUGAACCCUUGUAUGAAAGGGGAAAACUUAAAAGGGUUUGUUCCCUAAAGUAAAAAAAGGGUUUUGUGUAUUAAAUUAUCUAAAAAAUAGGGUUGAAUCUGCGCAAGAGCUUUCGAAUGGAUUUCGUUUUAAAAUAAAGGGACGAUCCCUACUCGAAAUGUAUAUGCGUACUGCUGAUAUAGUCGGCAGUUUACUAGCAACACUCGGCAGGAGAACAUUGUAGUUUAUUAAACUUUUUUUCAUGUGCGUUGUACAAAGUAUUAUAUUAAGUUAUUCUAGUUUUAAGUGAAAUGUAAGUGCAUUUUCUCUGUUUUGUAAAUGUGAAGUGUCGCUCUCACGAGCAAUGAAGUUUGUUGAAUGAGGCUUACAUUAUCAAAUUCCUGCCUUUAAAAUAAGGUCUGAACAUUGAUAAAUAAGAGUUAUGUGAGUUUAUAUGUAGAAAUUUAUACAUUUCUGUAUUUAGACAUUUUAUCAUUUACAAGGAGCUACACUUUUGUUCUGCUAUUGAAUUGUUUUUGGUAUGUAUUUGCAGAAAGUUCUUAUUUACUGAUAAUUAUAAUUUCUGAUCCGUUA